GCAUAUCAAUAAGCGGAGGAAAAGAAAAUAACAAUGAUUCCCCUAGUAACUGCGAGUGAAGAGGGACAAGCUCAAAUUUUAAAUCUAUCGGGUUUUACCUGAUCGAGUUGUAAUUUGAAGAAACGUUUUCUGUAUCUUGAAUUAGCCUAAAUCCUUUGGGAUAAGGUAUCAUGGAGGGUGACAAUCCCGUUCAUGGUUAAUUUUAAGGUGCUUUAUGAUACGUUUUCCAAGAGUCGAGUUGUUUGGGAUUGCAGCUCAAAAUGGGAGGUAAAUUUCUCCUAAAGCUAAAUAUUGGCGAGAGACCGAUAGCGAACAAGUACCGUGAGGGAAAGAUGAAAAGAACUUUGAAAAGAGAGUAAAAUAGUACGUGAAAUUGUUGAAAGGGAAACGAUUGAAGUCAGUCGUACCGACGAGAAAUCAGCUCUUUGAGUGCGAACUUGUGGGCGUGCGUGAACUUUACGGUCUCGCUGUUUGCAAUGUUUGUUCUUUUUGGGUGUACUUUUUCGUAUGGUAGGCCAACAUCAGUUUCGAAUAUCAUAAAAUGACCGGAGGAAUGUAGCUUCGAUCUCGUAUUGAAGUGUUAUAGCCUUUGGUAGAUGUGGUGUUUGGGACUGAGGAUUGCAACGAAUAUCCUUUGGGCUAUCCGUCUGAUCUCUGAAAGUUGCUUAGGUGCCGAAAGCGUGCUUACGGUCAUUUAAGUUUGACGGUCAAAAGGUUAGAACGUGAUUACAUUCGUUANNNNGUUGACGUA
rnacentral:rRNA from 1 species